rnacentral:lncRNA from 1 species
CUGGGAGCUCUUGGAAUCAAAGUCAGCACCUCCCUCCCCCCUGCCUUCCCAACGUCCACUCACUGUCUUCAUCCUGGGACUGCACCCCUUGCCUUUCACUUCAUCACAGUGCCCUUGUUGGAAGGCCACGGUGGGCUCCUCUCUCCAACCCUCUCUGUCUCCCCGUCGGCCCCCACGGCUUGGCUUUUCUUCCGAGACCUUGGCAUGGCAGGUGUUUCUGGUGUCCUGUGGCCACAGGGCACCGUCAGCAACACCAUCAGCAGGUGUGAAGGAAGGACUUUCAAAGCUGCUGGGCCAUGCAGAGGCAGAAGGAUCAGAGGAGGUGUGCAGGGUUGUUCCUGGUGAGGAGGUUUUGCCUGGGGAAGGAGUAAGGGACUGGACGCGUCGGAUAUUUGGGGAAGAUGGAAAACCCAGUGUGCGCAAGGACCACAAAGGGAUCCUCCAGCUGGAGCUGAGCUCUGCCGGCGGGCACAUGCUGCUUGUCCUCCCAGGAGCCCCGGGCUGCGCCCUCCAGAAGGCACAGGGAGAAAUAAGGGGUCCUGAGAAAUGUCACUGCCUGCACCCAGCAAAAGCCCCUUUCUUUCUUCUUCUCUUUUUAUUUUUCUUUUCUUCUUGCUCUCUCACUGCCCCCAGCCCGCCCCACUCCUGUUCUCUCCUCCUGCACCUGCAAUUCCUAAACAACCCUGAUGUUAUUCUGAU